UGGGGAAUAUUGCACAAUGGGCGCAAGCCUGAUGCAGCCAUGCCGCGUGUAUGAAGAAGGCCUUCGGGUUGUAAAGUACUUUCAGUCGGGAGGAAGGUGUCAAGGUUAAUAACCUUGGCAAUUGACGUUACCGACAGAAGAAGCACCGGCUAACUCCGUGCCAGCAGCCGCGGUAAUACGGAGGGUGCAAGCGUUAAUCGGAAUUACUGGGCGUAAAGCGUACGCAGGCGGUUGAUUGAGUCAGAUGUGAAAUCCCCGGGCUUAACCCGGGAAUUGCAUCUGAUACUGGUCAGCUAGAGUCUUGUAGAGGGGGGUAGAAUUCCAUGUGUAGCGGUGAAAUGCGUAGAGAUGUGGAGGAAUACCGGUGGCGAAGGCGGCCCCCUGGACAAAGACUGACGCUCAGGUGCGAAAGCGUGGGGAGCAAACAGG
rnacentral:rRNA from 1 species